rnacentral:rRNA from 1 species
GAUGAACGCUCGCGGCGUGCCUAAUUCAUGCAAGUAGAACGCUGAAUGAAGGAGCUUUCUCUUUCCGGAUGAGUUGCGAACGGGUGAGUAACGCGUAGGUAACCUGCCUGGUAGCGGGGGAUAACUAUUGGAAACGAUAGCUAAUACCGCAUAACAGUAGAUGUUGCAUGAUAUCUACUUAAAAGGUGCAAUUGCACCACUACCAGAUGGACCUGCGUUGUAUUAGCUAGUUGGUGAGGUAACGGCUCACCAAGGCGACGAUACAUAGCCGACCUGAGAGGGUGAUCGACCCCACUGGGACUGAGACACGGCCCAGAAUCCUACGGGAGGCAGCAGUAGGGAGUCUUCGGCAAUGGACGGAAGUCUGACCGAGCAACGCCGCGUGAGUGAAGAAGGUUUUCGGAUCGUAAAGCUCUGUUGUACGAGAAGAACGAGUGUGAGAGUGGAAAGUUCACACUGUGAGGGUAUCUUACCAGAGAGAGACGGCUAGCUACGUG